UACGGGGGGAGCAAGCGUUGUUCGGAUUUACUGGGCGUAAAGCGUGUGCAGGCGGGGUGACAAGUGGUGUAUGAAAUCUCCGGGCUAAACCUGGAGGGGUUAUGCCAGACUGUCAUUCUAGAGUGCGAGAGAGGGGCGUGGAAUUCCGGGUGUAGUGGUGAAAUGCGUAGAGAUCCGGAGGAACACCUGUGGCGAAAGCGGCGCACUGGACCACAACUGACGCUGAGGCGCGAAAGCUAGGGGAGCAAACAGG
rnacentral:rRNA from 1 species